UGGGGAAUUUUGGACAAUGGGCGCAAGCCUGAUCCAGCAAUGCCGCGUGCAGGAUGAAGGCCUUCGGGUUGUAAACUGCUUUUGUACGGAGCGAAAAGGUCUGCCCUAAUACGGUGGGCUCAUGACGGUACCGUAAGAAUAAGCACCGGCUAACUCUGUGCCAGCAGCCGCGGUAAUACAGCGGGUGCAAGCGUUAAUCGGAAUUACUGGGCGUAAAGCGUGCGCAGGCGGUUAUGCAAGACAGAUGUGAAAUCCCCGGGCUUAACCUGGGAACUGCAUUUGUGACUGCAUAGCUAGAGUACGGUAGAGGGGGAUGGAAUUCAGCGUGUAGCAGUGAAAUGCGUAGAUAUGCGGAGGAACACCGAUGGCGAAGGCAAUCCCCUGGACCUGUACUAACGCUCAUGCACGAAAGAGUGGGGAGCAAAC
rnacentral:rRNA from 1 species